UACGUAGGGUGCAAGCGUUAUCCGGAAUCACUGGGCGUAAAGCGUGCGUAGGUGGCGUGUUAAGUGUGAUGUUAAAUCGUGUGGCUCAACCAUAUCGAUGUGUCGCAUACUGGCAUGCUAGAGGAAAGCAGAGGCAAGUGGAAUUUGUAGUGUAGCAGUGAAAUGCGUAGAUAUUACAAGGAACACCAAUGGCGAAGGCAGCUUGCUGGGCUUUUUCUGACACUGAGGUACGAAAGCGUGGGGAGCGAACAGG
rnacentral:rRNA from 1 species